AAUAUGCAGCCCUGUUACCAAAGCAACAAGGGGAAAAACGUAUCUUAAGCCCACAACAAACAGAAAAUAUGCUAAAGAGCCUCAGACCGAUACUUUCCUAAUUCACAAGAGUUUAAGAAGGGGGAGGAGGUACAACAUGAGUAGACUUGCAAGUUUCUGUUAUUAAAACCCUUCUCCAUAAAAAUAAUUUUAGCCUUUCUGCAGAGUUGCUUCCUGCUCUGGUCUACCGGUAGAAUUGACAUGAAAUGCCUGGACUGAAGCUAGGCUGGAAACAGUGAGACAGACUUCUGCAACUUUUCAAGAAAAAGAACAGAAGCUUUAAAAGAUUUUCUUGACUCUCCCUCAACCUUCUUCUCUGGAAUAUGGGGAUCCAAUGCCUGGAAACUGUUUGUUUCUCAAGAGCAAUCCUACCUUUUACUUGAUUUAUGUAGUAAACAGAUCAAUUAAAUG